GUAGGUGAACCUGCGGAAGGAUCAUUACAAAAUCAGGUUUGGGUUUAGGAGGUUAGUGGUAGGUUAGGUGGGUGAUGGGUGAGGAGUUCUCCUUGCUUUACUCUACUCUACUCUACUUACUAUCCACCCCCCUCAUCAUUUGCGCUUGUAUUGUUUGACAGAGUAAUCUUCUAUGCAUAAAUUGACAACUUUUAACAAUGGAUCUCUGGGCUCUUGCAUCGAUGAAGAACGCAGCAUCUGACUGACUAAG
rnacentral:misc_RNA from 1 species